CUCAGAUUGAACGCUGGCGGCAGGCCUAACACAUGCAAGUCGAGCGGUAACAGGAAUUAGCUUGCUAAUUUGCUGACGAGCGGCGGACGGGUGAGUAAUGCCUAGGGAACUGCCCAGUCGAGGGGGAUAACAGUUGGAAACGACUGCUAAUACCGCAUACGCCCUACGGGGGAAAAGAGGGGACCUUCGGGCCUUCUGCGAUUGGAUGUACCUAGGUGGGAUUAGCUAGUUGGUGAGGUAAUGGCUCACCAAGGCGACGAUCCCUAGCUGUUCUGAGAGGAUGAUCAGCCACACUGGGACUGAGACACGGCCCAGACUCCUACGGGAGGCAGCAGUGGGGAAUAUUGCACAAUGGGCGCAAGCCUGAUGCAGCCAUGCCGCGUGUGUGAAGAAGGCCUUCGGGUUGUAAAGCACUUUCAGCGAGGAGGAAAGCUUAAGCGUUAAUAGCGUUUAGGUGUGACGUUACUCGCAGAAGAAGGACCGGCUAACUUCGUGCCAGCAGCCGCGGUAAUAC
rnacentral:rRNA from 1 species